rnacentral:lncRNA from 1 species
GUCUUUAAAUGCUUUCCACAGACACCACCUGGGAGGCUGCUGCAGUCUGAGAGGGCCAAAGCAAAGCUCAGCCUCUGCACCAGUCCUUCGGGGAACUGCCAGCCAAGUCAACAUGCACAACUGUUACUGAACCAAAGUGGGUUUGCUGCUUGGUGAGUUGAAAUCAAAGCCUGCACCAGAAGUAGUGGUCAUGCAAAAUAAGAUUUAUUUGCAGCAAAUAAAGACAACAGGAGGAAUCACUUCCAAAGUUGUGGCCCCUGAGCAAGGGAAAACAGGUGUCACUCUUGUGAUGGGGUUUGGACCGGUUCAAGGCAGUCGGUGAUUGCAUCUCCUAACAUAACUAGAAAACAAUUUCGAGAAACAGUUAAGUGCUUCCCAAACCUCCUUUGAGUUACUUGGGGCGUUAGUCAGUGACACAACCGUGUUUUUGUGCCAGCAGGCUACGCCAGGAAUGGGGGCUCUUGUCCCCAUGGCUGCUGCUGGGCCGGGGGAGGGGGGGAGAUGGGAGGCAGGUAAGCAAAAAUGCUGCAGCACUUUCUUACUGAAAUUUAGGAGUCUUUUUCUUCAUGAAUCACUCUCCUGGUUGCUGUAAGUAUUUAAUUACACUCCAGAGUUUCAAAAAAGCUGAUUCUGUCAGUUUUUGCCAGCCUAAUGUUUGCUU